AGAAUCAACGCUGGCGGCGUGCCUAACACAUGCAAGUCGAACGCGAAAGUGGAGCAAUCCAUGAGUAGAGUGGCAAACGGGUGAGUAACGCGUGGGCGACCUACCUCUGAGUGGGGGAUAACUCCGAAAGGAGGGCUAAUACCGCAUGACAUCCCGUGUUUGGAUACACGGACAUCAAAGCCGGGGAUCGCAAGACCUGGCGCUUGGAGAGGGGCCCGCGUCCGAUUAGCUAGUUGGUGAGGUAACGGCUCACCAAGGCUUCGAUCGGUA
rnacentral:rRNA from 1 species